CCUCCAAUCCCAUCUCCCUCCUAGGGUUCCCAGCACCCGCCUCCGCCGCCGCCGCCGCCGCCGUCGCCGCCGUAUCUUCAUCCCGUACCUCUCGCCCUCGUCCCCUCUCUUCCCCUCCGCGAUUUUCUUCGUUCUUUUUCAUAAAUUCGAUCCUGCUUAUUUGCGUUUUCCCCUCUCGAUUCCUGACAAGUUGGCGGCCCCCAUGCCGCCAUCUUCGCGAGGAGGGGAUAGAUCGACGCGUCAAGAAAUCGUUUCAAUUGCCAUGGCUUCCCGUAGGCAAUAUGAUUGUUGCUUGCGUACACUUUUUUCUCUCUCUCCCUUCGUUUUGCUCGUUCUUCUCUUGCCGAUGAGUAAUUUUCUUGUCUUGCACGAUGCUAACCCCGGGCUUGUCGGACGGAUCUCGGUCCGCUGUGAUGAAGGAAAGCCCCAAUGCUGUGCUAGAUCCACACCGCCGUUCAGUGUUGCAGGCCGCGACACUACGCGUGGAUGAGCAGCCUGUGUCAGAGUAAUGGAUACAUUCGCAUCACAUCGUUUUCCCCUCUUUUGUUUCGGAUCUUGGAUUGUGGUUUGGUGGCUGUGAUUAGAAUCUUACCCGCGCUUCUGAUCAACUCGUGAAGUACAAGGGAAAACAUGGUUGAAUUUCUUAAUAUGAGCCACUGCAAAUACCAGAUCCCUUUUUCUUUCUGAUCUCGGUUUAUUUCUGUCAUUAUGUUGUUUGUACAUGGCGGUGAUGAUAAACAUUUCAAGCAAACAUGCCAGUUCUGCUUCUGAAAAUUCAUGAUUGAAAAACCUGUUAUACCGAUCUGAGCCAUGAUCUAUCAUCUACUUUAGUUUCUUACUCUGUUUUAUAACUGUCUUUAGUUUUGAUUGUUGCCGAGUUUAACUAUCCUCUCGCAAGUUUUUCUGAUUUGUGGAAGAGGCUGAAAAUCUCGGGAGAGCGUGUGUUGUCAUCAGCUUCGUCUCUUGUUCCUACGAGAUGGGAGUUAAAUAACGACACGAGAUUUCACAAAUUUCUGCGGCAUCCUCUCAAUAAUAUCUAGUCAGCUGGAAUGUCCCCCUGCACCCUGGCAAACGGUAUCUAAUCGGGAGAAACAAGCUGUAACAUUGUUCUUAAAGAUGUUGCCCGGACCCAAUUCUGAUCUUGAUUGAAACACAUGUAAUUCAGUAGCAAACGGCGUCAAUUGAAUCUGGUGUGAAUCUGUUAAAAUGGCUGGUUGCUAAAUAGCCAAUUAUCAGCCAAUUGUAAUAAUGGUACAAACAUUUCACUCGAGCUAUCACCAUUUGGAAUAUAUUUACAAGGCAUAGUUCUAUUCUUUUUUGAUCUGCCAAUGUUGUGUUUGAAUGUUUCAGUAAUAAGCAAGAAUUUUCCCUUCAGAUGUGCAUUCUGGUAGCAGUGUUCUGCUUGUCUUAGCCCUACAUGAUGAACUAUGUUUUAGCUAUGGAUGUAUGUCCAGGUGGAGCUAUAUUUGACAUAGUUACUCUGAUAGGGCAAAGACUGUUAAUUUCCUUUCUUAAUCUUAUGUAGCAAACAGCCCCAAUUAAGUGUUUUGGUAUCUGCAACACAUUUGAUAUGACCAUCUGAUAUUUGUGAAAUAAUAUGGCAACGAAGAUAAAUAUAUGGCUAUGUUCUUAGAACAUUUGUAGUCUGCCAGGCUAAGGGAAUGCUGCUAAUUCCUUCAUUGGAUGUUUGAGCCUUGUUAAUUACCCCUGAUUAUUUCACUUGUGGAGAACGUAAUUUGUUUGUAACUGUAAUCACCAACUUCUGAUUUUGUUAUGAAAUUAAAGCAAAUUCACUUUUAAGUUAUUGUAAAAAUACUGGUAAUAAUAUCAGGGCUGAAAGACGUAGAAUAUAUUUUGUACUAUUCUACGCAUCCAUCCCUACAGCCCCUGCAAUAUAAUUCCAAAGAUAUGGCUAGGGUUCCAUGGAUGUAAUGUUUGAACAUUGAACGUUUCGUUUCUGAAAGAUUCCUUCCAUUUAGAAGAAGUCAAUGGUUGCUUGUUUAUUGGAGGGAAAACGGGCGAUAUUCUGUGUUACAAGGGCACUUUUCGCGGGAUCCUGGACCGAGUGGAUGACGCCAUUUGAUGACACGCGGAGGGGAAAGACCCCUUGCCUUUUCGCGGCCCAUCCUGGUGAUUUUUCUUUUGCUAGGCCCAGCACUAAAAAACCCACCUUUUUACGAUUAUGAGGUUUCUUCGAAGAGGAAAUUGCAUCCUGUAACAACAUCAUUUCUCCCUUUUUUUUCUACCCCAGGCUUUGCAACAUUUCGAAAUUGGGAAAUUGUGACAGGAGCAGGUGCUACUAGAGAAUAAUUAGUAAAUUUGGAUUUGCGAAUUAUUAUAGAGAAUUCUUUGAUCGAAUGGAAGGAAUUAGAAGACGAGGGGUAUAGUGGAGAGGCUGCCUGUUUCCUUGUAGUUGGAUCUCCCAUUUUUUGGAAUGUUCCAAAUUCCACUUGAGCAUCCAAAUCUGGAUCAAUACCAGCAAAACCAUCUUGGAAGAAUGUUCUAGCGUCAUGCCAAAUGUGUCAGAAAAAGAUGAUUUAUUCCUUAUUUAAAAUUUGAAAAUUUGAAAAUUCACUUCUUUAUUUUAUUAAUUUAGGAUCCAGAAGGUAGUUUUUCUUUGAUCCAUAUCUUAUUUGAUUCAUAUUAUUGUAUAAUCGCCUUGUGUCGAUAGGUCAGGGAGAAAACCCUAUACUCAGAUCGCUCUCUCGCGACCGACAAGUGCCGUCCACCAAGAUCCUCCUCUGCAUUUGAGCUUUUCCGUCGGGAUCACCCUCCGCCUCGAAGCUCCUGACCCAUCUGGCAGCGGCAGCGGCAGACACCUACUUCAACCAAGGUUACCACCUCCUCAUUCUAGCAUUGUGAUAUGGGGCGUAAUUUAACUUGGACUACAACUGAUUGAUGUAGAUCUGUGCAUUGAAGGGGAUCAGUUUGUAGUAAUGGGUAUCAUCAAUGUUUCCUUGUGCCAAUUGAUUAUGCAAUUCUGUUUGGUGUUGUGAAGGGUUUUUCCCUAACUACAGUUAGUACAAGGGAACCUUCAUGAUUUAAUCUUCCAAGGCUCGUUUUCUAGCCCAUGUGUUUUUUAAGGCUGUUGCAGCCAAAGUUAUUGCUGCACGUAUUACACAUACCUUUUACUUCUGCAAUGAAGAAAAACUACAUGGGCUAGAAAAACACUGUAUUAGAUAAAAAUGCAAUUGGUUUAUCCUAUCACUGAUCCACCUACUAGCUCACUUGUUCUGUAUUAACUUCCUAAGCAAUGCACCUCAGACGAUUUUCUCAAAAGUGUGUCGAGAUGAUAUUCUCAAUAUAUUAUUAUUUAAUCAGUUUACAAGUUCAUUGAUUUCCUUCGAUUAUUUUCAAAUCCUGAAAUUAUUUGUAAUGUCCUAUGCAUUUUGCAGAAUUAUUUUGUGGUUUUUGUUUAGACUUUUUUAGGAAUUACAUGUUUAUUAGUAAUAUUAAAAAUAUAUCUGCUAUGUGAUUCAGACGCUAGAACGAUUCGUUUUCCCCCAUCCACAUGUUACCAAAUGGAAGAAAAUAUCCCCUUUGGUGGUAGGGGGGAACCCAUGUACCAAAGGUCACGUGGGGAUUGCAGUCAGAGGGAACAACAGUUAUGGCUAACGGGGCUGAUUUUAAUUUGAGGUUAUGGCGGGAGCAGUUAACUGCAUCUCUGUUUCUGAUCUGGCGCAUGACUGAGAAAAUUGUAGUGAUGCAUGAUACACAGAAAAAUGGGAGAUCCCUACAGCAUCCCGACAUACUAGCAGAGCACCUCCAGCAUUACCAGAAAGAUCAUAUAACUUCGACAACACUUGCGUUCAGGCACAACAGAAUGUACGUGCAGGCAUGCGUGGGAGCUAGUGAGGUUAGGACAUGCAGGUGUGUGAGCUUAUGAGGCACUAAUGGGCCUGUUGAAUCAAGCGAUGCUGGUGAUGGCGCCAUUUGACAAUGCUCGGGACGGGCUAGGGCUUGAAGUCCGGCUGUACAUGACCACUGGUGAAAUUGAAGCUGCUUGAAACAGUGGCUCAUGCACUGCCACGCGUCAUUAAUGCAGUCGUGGGUUGUUCACACGUUUGAAAGUUCAAAAUUUGAAGAUUGGAGGGCUGACCGAUCCUGCCUAUACUACAUAAAGCCCAUGGGUGGCCCGGCCUGACCCAGCCCGAAAAAGCCUGACUCGGCCUGGCCCGCCGCUGCUCCCGGGCCGGGCUCAGGCCUAGAUUUUGCGCUUUUUGAGGGAGGCCUGGCGAGCUUUUGCGCGUUUGGGCCGGGCUUGGGCCCAAAAACCAGGCCCGGGCCUAGUUUUUUUUAACCUUGGACUUGGCUAGGCCCAGCCUGAAGCCCGACCUGGCCCGAGGUUUGGCCAGGUAUAUAGUUGGAGGGGAUGAGAAGCAAUGCGAUGGUCCAGGAAAGUUGCGAUCGAGCAAGACCGUCAGGACUAAAUUGGUCGGGCUUAUUUAAUGACUAUAGACAAACGAGUUGAAAAUCGGUGGACAUGCAUCAAUACACGAGUUAUAUCGCAGGAGGCGUGAAUUUCUAGGUGGACCAAUGGCCCAGAUAAUAGUACUAUAUGAUACUACUAUGGCCCAUAUAGAAUUCUCGAUCACGAUAUAUUAUCAUAUGGAAGAGUAAAAAAUUCAGAAUAAACUAACCUCCUUUGUGAAAUCACUGUCACUCUGCCGGGAGUUCAGACGUUUGACUGCAAUUUCGGUAUUGUCCGCCAGCCUUCCGUAAUAAACAUUCGCAGUCCCUCCGGAGCCUAUGGAUCUGUCGAAUCCGUUCGUCGCAAUUUCAGUUUCCGAGUGCGUAUAUCUGGUCGGCCCUGCUUGGAAUGCGAGCAAGGCAAGUUCUUCUUCUGCUGGUGCUGCAAUAAUAUCAGGCUUGUUAAAUGAGCUAUUGCAGCCGCAAAAUAUACUGUACUGCAGUUAGUUAACGGACACUCACCGUCUGGAGGGUUCUUCUUCCUCCUGAAGUAACAACAACAUCCAGUAGCAGCGAUGAUUAACAGAAUGGCUACGGACGUGGAUGCAGCAAUUAUUAUCGUGCGUCUACGUCGUGUGGCAUGCUGACUGUCAUCUGCCAAUACAAAAGAAGACAUUAGAGUUUUUCCAAAAAAAAGAGAGAGAAAAGAUUAGAGCCGAAUUUAUUUAUUGAUUAUGUAUUUUGUAUUUUUUUAGCAAAGAUUUGUAACAUGGACAUAUUAACAGUACAAUUUUUUUUUUAUUUGGAACAGACAUACUAGUGGGACAGUGGCGAAUUGACCAGGCAGGAUUCGAUAGGCUUGAGCCUACCCUCCAAAUUCGCGGAUUUGUUUUUUACUACUAGGCUUCAUUCUCUUUCUUAGGCCCAGCCCAGAAAAACUAGUCCAACAGCCAGCCCAUUAAGCAAUUGCGGCGACUAACCAGCCACCAGCACGCUCGCAGGCGCACGAGCAGCGGCCACCCAGUAAACCUAGCCGCACCCCUAAAAAAAAGUAAACCUAGCCGCUGGACGCCGCCUCCCCGCUGUACGCAUUGUUCGAGCAUUGACUUCUUCCCGGCAGACCCAGGGUCACUCUGCUUCUCUCUAUUCUAUUGGAUUGGAUGCAGAGACCGAUUUAGGAUCAGAUUUUAUUCCUUUGUAUUCAGGCAAAUGGUAUGCCGCUGCUGAUGCCGAAGGCUGUGCCACAUUCUUUUAUGAUGGUACACAUUGAUUGGUGAUGCAGCGCAAGUAGCACACUAUUCAUCAUGAUUCAUGUCCACUGCCCAUCUGUGGAUAUCAGGUUCAAUCUCCUUGAUUUCUUACUUGAGCUGUCACUCCUUACUCUACCUUUUUCAUCAGGGUACAGUAUUCAAAAUAUCACUAGUACUGUUUUUACUGAAACCCGAAGGCUGUAUACACAAUUACUUCCAUUGACACUUUGACAGGCCAGGUGUUUUUACUAAAAUGUUUGAUUUCUAAAAAAAAUGUCUAGCAAUAUAUGAGUUGUUUGCUAGCUAAGGGUCAUUUCUGCAUAUCUAGAUAGGUAAGUUGGCUUGUUCCUUGCUAGAGCUAGACGAAUCAACAAAGAUUUACUAGGAAGGCUCUUUCCAAGCAUAAGGUGAAUCUUUACGGUAUUUGAUUAUAAAACAUGUAUAGGUCACUGGCUAACGUUUUAUUACGUGGAAAACUCGCCCACUGAAAAUUUCCUACAAUGCUUGUUAUUCAUGUGCUUUCAACAAUUAUGUAUUCCCAGAAUUAAGCUGGAACCCGUUUUUCAAAUAUAAGCAUGUGAAAGUGCAUUGGUGUGCUAUUGUGCUAUGCUCCUGCAAUAUGAAGAAGUCAUUUGUACUGCAUGCUGGUUGUACUCAUGUGGCUAUGGUGUUCUGCUUUGAAAGUCUGAAUGCAGCAGAUGGUGUUUUUUACUUUUGUGAGGAAAAUAAAUCAGCAGAUGGUAUUGAACAUGUUAUUGUGUCAAGACAUAUGAGCUCCUGGAAGCUGCCCAGCCCAAAUUGAUUAAAGAACACAGCUAAGGUGGGUUUCGGGGGAUCAUGUGUGGCUUGGCUGGUGUUUAUGAUUCCUGCGUACACGCAUGCGACAGUGGAUGAGCGCACUCCGGGGGUGAAUAUAAUGGAUGGGGGUGGAAGGAGCUCCGGGAUGUACCGCUGGAGGUUGCUCUCACAGAUGAGAGAGUGUAACUGCUGAUUGGAAGUGUAACUCUAAAUCGCUGCAUAAUAAUUACUAAUAAACAUGCUGUUUGACACGCGUAUGAUGGAAUUUUUUUGGAAGUCCUCUUCUUGCCAUUGAAACAGAAACAGAAAAUUGUAUUUGCAUGGAUGUCCUUCA